AUUAGAAAUAUUCGAACGUGUAAGGUGAAUUUGAAGAAAUUGGAGUUAUCUAUAGAACCAAUGAAUGUCAAAUAUAUGUGAGUGAUUUCAGGAAUGAGGAUGAAGUAAGGAAUCACAAGAAAUGAUGAAAAAGGAAAAAGACCAAAGACAUACCUGAAGAGCAAGCCGAGGCAGCUAGUGAAGGCAAAUACUGGUUUCUGAACCCAAAGGAAGAUAAAAAGGGAAGUUAAAAAAGAAGAAGACAACAAAAGAGAGAGAAAGGUCAAAGAAGGUAUAAAGACUGUUGUUGGUCGAGGUCUGGUCACAGCUCAGAACUUUGUUCAUAUACCAGAAAAAAGGAGGAAAAAACAAGAAGAAUGUGGAGGAAAGAGGAGAAAAAGACUAUUUUAUCCUUUUAUUUUUAACCGUUUUUGGGUUUGGUCAAACAUCAGAAUGCCAGAUUGUGAUGAGUUAUUUCAUGCUGUCGUGAAGGAAUGGAGAAAGCAAGUUCAACAAGGAAGAAAAGUGCAUGCCGUUUCGGUUAAGGAGUGUAGGGAGAGAGAUAGAGAGACGUCAUAGCAAACCUCUCCACCCAAUUUAUAAAACCAAACAACGGUUUCUAUUUUUCUUUCUUUUGUUAUAUUGUUUUUUUUAAUGGGCUGUCUCUGUUGAAUGUGAUGAGAUAUUUAACUGGACUCAAUAACAGUUUCCUAACUGACACUGUUCUUUGGUUGACUCCUUCCAUGGCUAUAUAAGAACAUUAAUGA